rnacentral:rRNA from 1 species
UACGUAGGGUGCGAGCGUUAAUCGGAAUUACUGGGCGUAAAGCGUGCGCUAGGCGGCUUUAAGCCAGACGUGAAAUCCCCGGGCUUAACCUGGGAAUGGCGUUUGGGACUGGAAGUCUGGAGUGCGGCAGAGGAGACUGGAAUUCCUGGUGUAGCAGUGAAAUGCGUAGAUAUCAGGAGGAACACCGAUGGCGAAGGCAGGUCUCUGGGCUGACACUGACGCUCAUGCACGAAAGCGUGGGGAGCAAACAGG